AAUCCAAUAUCAACCAAUUUUCAUGAAAGUAGCUCAUUUCUGUAAAUGAAUGUAAAAUUUAAUGUACAUUACAGCACAUGGUGAAGUCUGUAUAUACAUUAACGACGAAUUUGAGACAAAUAAGUGUAAAUUUAAAACUAUGUACAUGGCGCUCGGCGCCGCAGACAGACGCAAAAUGGCGCCGCCGGUACACACACUGUCACAUACUGUACCCUGUGUCUCUUCGUUCCCUAGCUCCCGAGGUCGUGAAUCAGUUUAUCAUGUACACAGGUUCGGGCACUGGUCUUUUUAAAUGGACAGCUUUGUCACUGACUGAGUGGCGGCUGUUUGAGCUGACAGAGACAUUUUUGAGGCCAUCUACAGGGUUGAGAAGAAGACUAUCCGGCAUUCCACUGAAGAGUCCCUGACAGCGUUCAUACACCAAAUGUCUGUUGGAACAAAUAUGGUGGAAUACAGUGGCGGCUCGUGACUGCUCAUCAGAGGAUGCGCUAAUUCAAAAUAAGUGUUCAGAUUGUCACGUGUGUGGUUCCCUUUUCCAAAAUAUGUGUCCUGCGUGUCGAGAGAUCCUGUGUGCAUCACGUGUUUUGUCAAAAUAAGUGCCUGCUGCACACGCGUCAAAACCGUUUAUGAUAAAAGAGACGCUUAUGUUUCUAAAAUACACGCCAGACACUUCCUUAACAGUAAACUCCUAUUAUGCAUGAGAUUAUGCGAGUAUCUGGCAAACGCGAGCAUCUGUUUUAUCAUAAACCCUUUAAACGCGUCUGCAGCAGGAACUUAUUUUGACAUGACACGUGAUGCACACAGGAUCUCUCGAUGGGCAGAACACAUAUUUUAAAAUUACAAACCACACACAUGACAAGCUACAUACAUGUUGUGACGAACUUUGCAUCGAGCAUCCUCGAAUAAAGAAGUCACCGGCCAGCACUGGUGGAAUACCUUCAGCAAUCGAAGCCGUUCCCCUCUGGGAGAUCUCAAGCUGCACACAACCAAUGUUUGAAGACUUAAAGCCUCAAGUUCAAUCCAAUUAUUGAAUGUUGUCAAAUGUUUGAGAGUUGUUUAUUAUUCUAUUUUUCCUUUCUAAUGUUAUUACAGUGUGACCUAAAAUAAAUAGGUCCAAGUGUGCAUUUUUAUAUAGAAUUAAUUGAAUCCAAUAAAAAUUUAAAACUGCUUGAAGUGUGUAAGUGUCUGAAUUUUUCUUUUCUGAAAUAAGGCAUAGUUACACAAUUUAGGUUAUCUUUGACCUUUGGUUAAAAAGGAUCUACUAAUUUCUGGGUUUUUCCACCCAGAUAUUGGGGUUGUUCUUUUGACCCAGAAGUUGGGUUAUAUUAACUACAAUUUUGGGUUAUUUUAACCCAGAAGUUGGGUCAGGUAUUUAACCCAGAAGUUGGGUCAAAAAGAAUAACCCAUUUUUCUGGGUUGAAAUAACCCAGAAAUUAGUUGGUCCCUUUUUAACCCAGGAGUUGGGUCAA